rnacentral:misc_RNA from 1 species
AUUGAAGAAUCACAGCUUAAGAAUUAGUUAUACUGUUUUUAUAAAUAAAAAAAAAUAACAUUUUUUGAAUAACAUUAUAAGUAUUUUGACAGUUAUUUACCCAUUUAUAGUAGAGGUUAGAUGGCAAAUCGCUUUGAUUAAGUUGAAUGAAAUCAUUAUUAAGAUACUAUAUACAAAUAAUUCUAGCUAGAUCAAUUUAUGAAUUGUUUACUUUAGUUCAAAAUGUUAAUUAUA